rnacentral:tRNA from 1 species
GGGAAAGUGGCUCAGUGGUAGAGUGCUUGCCUAGCAUGCAUGAGUCCCUGGGUUCAAUUCCUCAGCACCA